GGCGUGGGUUAGCAUGCAAGUCGUGCGAGAAGUCUUUUGCUUGCAUUAGACGGAAAGCGGCGAAAGGGAGAGUAACGCGUGGAUACCUACCUCCAGGUUCGGGAUAGCUGCGGGAAACUGCAGGUAAUACCGAAUAACAUCUCCGGAUCAAAGGUGUGAUUCCGCCUGGAGACGGAUCCGCGUCCUAUUAGCUUGUUGGUGGGGUAACGGCCUACCAAGGCUACGAUGGGUACCGGGCGUGAGAGCGUGACCCGGCUCACUGGGACUGAGACACUGCCCAGACACCUACGGGUGGCUGCAGUCGAGAAUCUUUGGCAAUGGACGAAAGUCUGACCAAGCGACGCCGCGUGCGGGAUGAAGGCCUUCGGGUUGUAAACCGCUGUCAGUUGGGAGGAAAUCGCAUGGGGUCCUCCCCAUGCGUUGACCUAUCUUCAGAGGAAGGACGGGCUAAGUUCGUGCCAGCAGCCGCGGUAAGACGAACCGUCCAAACGUUAUUCGGAAUUACUGGGCUUAAAGGGUGCGUAGGCGGCCCUGUAAGUUGGGUGUGAAAUCCCUCGGCUCAACCGAGGAAUUGCGCCCAAUACUGCAGGGCUAGAGGAAGACAGAGGUGAGCGGAACUUGUGGUGGAGCGGUGAAAUGCGUUGAUAUUACAAGGAACACCUGUGGCGAAAGCGGCUCACUGGGUCUUUUCUGACGCUGAGGCACGAAAGCUGGGGGAGCGAA
rnacentral:rRNA from 1 species